UUUUAGCCCUGAUGGUAGUGGAGUCCUUUUUAUAAAGCUUUUUUUCUUUAUAAAAAGAUAUAGUGGACAGCAGGAAACUAU
rnacentral:sRNA from 1 species